UGAGUUAUUGCAAUAAGUUGGUUUCCAAAUAUUCCCAAAACUCUUAACGAGAGUUGGAGCGGUCAGGGUAAUAGUUUUCAACUAGCAAUAACGCCAUCUAGGAAAAGUUCCUCACUGAUAAGCGUAAUACCCGUGCACAAAGAUGGGGAAUGGUAAACUCUUGUACAUCCAUUUAUAGUAAAAUUGAGCAGUCACAACAGGUCACAAAACCCUACCCUAUUACUUUAACAUAACGUUACGGAAUAUACGGGCUUAAAUUCCCUUAGUGCACUAUGAAAUGAUAUUUUGAGUAUGAGAGUUUUAAAGCGCAAAGGGGAAGAUUUGCAAAACUGAUAUAUGUAUAGGUAUGUAUAUUCAUUCAAUAACUAUGAAUUCUUGGAUAAUAAAGAAAUCAAUGCUAAAGUAAUGUUGAAGCGUCAAUCGUAAAUACCAAGCCUUGCUUUCCAAAAAGGCUUAAAUGCAUAGCAAUUCCAUUAACAAAAGAUGAAUGGGUGUCGGUUCGAAAUGUAAAGAAUAAAAAUGAUAAAAAAGGAGGGAGGAUGAGGUAUUCUCUUUAAAAAUAUAGUACUUAAAAGGAGACAAUUCACCUAUAGUCACUCGCAUGCCCAAUUUUGCUUUAUUAUAAGGUGAGGCAAUUACAAAGAAAACAAUAUCUUACAAAAUUAAGAGGUAGGAGUAGAAGUCGAUUUGAAAGUUUGAAAAUCCGCUGACUCAGGAUGCAACAUUGCUACGUAAAUUAGUAAAGAGCAUAAAAAAUUGAAAGCCUCUUCAGCAGCUAUUUUUCUUACCUAUAUCUGGAACUGCUGUCUCUUCAGCUGAUAACGCAAAAUUUGCAGGCGAUACUCUGAUACAACGAUCACAGAGAAUAGAAUAGUUCAUAUUUUCCAUAGCUUCUUUAGCGUCUUCUGGUUCAUCAAAUUCUACAAACGCGUAGGAACGGUCCACAGCUAGAAAGUUAGCUAAACUUUUAAAAUGUUUGAGCAUUUUCAUGGCAUCAAAACUAGUUGUUUACCAACAUGACACCAAUACAUGACUACUUUACCUUUUUCUUUACGAUGUAAUGCAACUGAGAUAAUCUCUCCAAACGGAAUGAAAGCAUUGUAUAAAAGAGAUUCUGUUACAGAUGGAGCCAAGUUACCUAAAAAGAAAGUUAGCAAACAGAUCUUUGAAAACAACAAUCUUUUAAAACGAAGUAUCGCCGUCAUAUAAUAUUCAACAAGUUAAAUCAUAACCUCAAACAUUUAUCGUAGAUAAAUGGCCAUAUGAGGAAGCGGUAUCAUGAAACUCAUAGAUAUAUCAUAACAACGAUGAAUUCAUUGAUCCUUACCCACAUGGACGGUUGCUUUCCUUCUUUCCAUCCUCAGAUCAUCAAAACUAAAAAAAAAAAAUAAGAUGAAAAGCAAAAAGACUAAAAUAAUAGGGAAUUAAAAAGUUCAGAUUAUUUCGCACAUUUACUAUCUCACAUCCACCACCAUUCAGUAAGUAGUUUCUCAAAUAACGAUGCAGUCUUUUUCGGUAUUUAACAGAAACCUGAAAUAAAGAUUCCAGAGACAUAUGAUACAUGAAAUGUUAUAAAUAAAAUGAAUUGUAUGAAGAUAGACACUUUAGAGAAUGCGAGAAUAUUU